AAAAAGUUUUAUUCUUGUUUAGAAGUUGACAUUAGGUUUGGUUUACAUGUAAAUUUUAGUGGAUAGAGGAGUAUAUCGGUUAAUAAUUUAUUCUUAAUGAAUUGAUUAUUGGAUAGAGCAGUGUUUAGUAUUAUAAAUUGAGGAGAUUUAGAUUUAGUGAAUUUGUUAGUAUCGGCCAAAAUCGUGCCAGCCGCCGCGGUUAUACGGGGGAUACAAGUUAACCUUUUUUGAUUUGAAGUUAAAUGAUUUUAUGGCCGGGAGAGGAUUCUUAAAUGUAUUUUUAGGUGAAAUUUUAAUGUAUUGAUAGUUAUUUUGAGGUUUGUAAGUUAGUUGAGGCUGAGAAAUUUAAGGAUUUAAACUAGGAUUAGAUACCCUAUUAUUUUAAAUGUAAAUUAAUUUAUCGGAGUAGUAGUAGUUAGGUUCUUGAAACUCAAAGAAUUUGGCGGUGUUUUAGUCCCUUCAGAGGAACCUGUCCCGUAAUCGAUAUUCCUCGUUAUAUCUUACUUGUUCAGGUUUUUGCAGUUUGUAUACCGCCGUCGUCAGAAUGUCCUAGCAGGGGAGCAAUUUUCCUAAGUUUCUAAAAUAUGAGAUGUCAGGUCAAGGUGCAGCUAAUGAAUAAGUGGAGAUGGGUUACAAUAAGUUGAUUUAAAUGGAUAGUGGUCUGAAAUAAUAGGUUGCUUGAAGGUGGAUUUGACUGUAAUUGUUAGUAUGGAAUAGCUGUGAAUUAUUUUAAGGCUCUAAAGCAUGCACACAUCGCCCGUCGCUCUCAUUAUUUAAGGUGAGAUAAGUCGUAACAUAGUAGAUGUACCGGAAGGUGUAUCUGGAAAGAU
rnacentral:ncRNA from 1 species